rnacentral:rRNA from 1 species
CAGUAGCCACGGGAAUACGUAGGUGGCAAGCGUUGUCCGGAAUUAUUGGGCGUAAAGGGCUCGCAGGCGGUUUCUUAAGUCUGAUGUGAAAGCCCCCGGCUCAACCGGGGAGGGUCAUUGGAAACUGGGAAACUUGAGUGCAGAAGAGGAGAGUGGAAUUCCACGUGUAGCGGUGAAAUGCGUAGAGAUGUGGAGGAACACCAGUGGCGAAGGCGACUCUCUGGUCUGUAACUGACGCUGAGGAGCGAAAGCGUGGGGGGCGAACAGGAUUAGAUACCCCCGUAGUCCCUGUCUCUUAUAC